rnacentral:rRNA from 1 species
GUUGCUUGCAAGGGCGUAGGGUGGAUGCCUUGGCAGACAGGACCGAUGAAGGACGUUUGAGGCAGCGAUAUUCCUCGGGGAGCCGCCAACAGGGCUUCGAUCCGAGGGUCUCCGAAUGUGGGAACACGGCCGUCGUUAUGGGCGGUCACCGGCUUCGGCCGGGGGGUACGCAGGGAAGUGAAACAUCUCAGUACCUGCAGGAAAGGAUAUUCCGUGAGUAGUGGCGAGCGAAAGCGGAUCAGGCCAAACCGCGUGCGUGUGAUACCCGUCGGGGGUUGCGUGCGUGGUGUUGCGGGAGCGUGUGUCCCGGUGCCGACGUGCCGGGCGGGAGUGAUAAAACCAUGUGUGAGGCGAACCGGGUUGGAUACCGGGCCGUAGAGGGUGAUGGCCCCGUAGCCGUAUGCGCAUGGUCUCCUGAUCGCGUGUCCCAAGUAGCACGGGCCCCGUGGAAUCCCGUGCGAAUCCGUGCAGACCGUUGCAUAAGCCUAAAUAUUCCUGUCUGACCGAUAGUGUACGAGUACCGUGAGGGAAAGGUGAAAAGUACCCCGGGAGGGGAGUGAAAUAGUCUCUGAAACCGUGCGCCUACGAUCCGUCGGAGCCUUCUUGUGGGGUGACGGCGUGCCUAUCGAAAAAUGAGUCUGCGAGUCAGUGGCAUGUGGCGAGCGUAAGCCGUGUGGUGUACGCGUAGCGAAAGCGAGUCUUAAAAGGCGUUUCUAGUCGCGUGUCCUGGACCCGAAGCGGGAUGAUCUAGCCCUGAGCAGGUUGAAGCGCGGGUAGGACCGUGUGGAGGACCGAACCCACCUGGGUUGAAAACCGGGGGGAUGACUUGGGGUUAGGGGUGAAAGGCCAAUCAAAUUCCGUGAUAGCUGGUUCUCUCCGAAAUGCAUUUAGGUGCAGCGUCGGUUGAUUGCUUCCGGGGGGUAGAGCUACUGGAUGCUUGCGGGCCCGUACAGGGUACCAACAGCAACCAAACUCCGAAUACCCGUGAAGUGUAUUCCGGCAGUGAGUCGGCGGGGGAUAAGCUCCGUCGUCGAGAGGGAGACAGCCCAGAUCGUCGUCUAAGGUCCCGAAGCGUGUGCUAAGUGGGAAAGGAUGUGGAGUCGCAUAGACAGCCAGGAGGUUGGCUCAGAAGCAGCCACCCUUGAAAGAGUGCGUAACAGCUCACUGGUCUAGUGGUUCCGCGCCGACAAUGUAGCGGGGCUCAAGCACACCACCGAAGACGCGGCAGCAGUUUUCUGCUGGGUAGGAGAGCGUCCCACACCGGGUCGAAGCGGCCGCGUAAGCGUGUCGUGGACUGUGUGGGAGUGAGAAUGCAGACAUGAGUAGCGAGAGCGGGGUGAGGAUCCCCGCCGCUGGAUGACCAAGGGUUCCAGGGCCACGUUCAUCGUCCCUGGGUGAGUCGGGUCCUAAGGCGAGGCCGACAGGCGUAGUCGAAUGGAUGAACGGGUCGAUAUUCCCGUACCGGCUUGCAGCCGCCCGAUCCGAGGCAGCGAGUACUAACCUCCGUCGUCGUGUGAUGUUCCCUUCGGGGUUCGGAUCGUGGCGGUGUUGGGAGCGUAGCUGUAGUAGGGUAGCGCGAGGAGUGACACGGACGGGUAGCCGGCCGCGGAGGUGGUUUUCCGUGGUCAAGCACGCAGGCCGUUCCCCAGGCAAAUCCGGGGGGCGUCAGGGCCGAGGUGUGAUGAUGGGCGCCGUUGGGCGCGAAUCCGGUGAUCCCGACCGUCGAGAAAAGCUUCGGCGCGAGGCUGUUUGCCGCCCGUACCCCAAACCGACACUGGUGGUCUGGUAGAGUAUACCGAAGCGAUCGAGCGAAUCCUGGUCAAGGAACUCGGCAAAUUGCUCCCGUUCCUUCGGUUUAAGGGAGACCCCCGGUGGUGAGGCGCCUCGCGCGCGGAGCUGUUGGGGGUGGCACAGAAGAGGGGGUAGCGACUGUUUACCAAAAACACAGGUGCAUGCGAAGACGUAAGUCGCUGUAUAUGCACUGACGCCUGCCCGGUGCCGGAAGGUUAAGAGGAUCCGUCAGCUCACGCGAAGCGGUGAAUUCAAGCCCCGGUAAACGGCGGUGGUAACUAUAACCAUCCUAAGGUAGCGAAAUUCCUUGUCGGGUAAGUUCCGACCUGCACGAAUGGCGUAACGACUUCCCCACUGUCUCGACCAGGAGCUCGGCGAAAUUGCAGUACGAGUAAAGAUGCUCGUUAAGCGCAGAAGGACGAAAAGACCCCGGGACCUUUACUAUACCUUGGUAUUGGCAUUCGGUGUGGAUUGUGUAGCAUAGGCGGGAGGCUUCGAAGCGUUGGCGCCAGCCAGUGUGGAGCCGCAAGGUGAAAUACCGCUCUGUUCGCAUUGGAUGUCUAACCACGAGCAGUGAUCCUGCUCUGGGACAGUGCCUGGCGGGUAGUUUAACUGGGGCGGUUGCCUCCCAAAGAGUAACGGAGGCGCUCAAAGGUUCCCUCAGCCCGGUUGGCAAUCGGGUGGCGAGUGUAAGUGCACAAGGGAGCUUGACUGCGAGAGCGACGGCUCGAGCAGGGACGAAAGUCGGAACUAGUGAUCCGGUGCCGGUGUACGGACGCGGCAUCGCUCAACGGAUAAAAGGUACCCCGGGGAUAACAGGCUGAUCAUUCCCAAGAGUCCAUAUCGACGGGAUGGUUUGGCACCUCGAUGUCGGCUCGUCGCAUCCUGGGGCUGGAGCAGGUCCCAAGGGUUCGGCUGUUCGCCGAUUAAAGCGGCACGCGAGCUGGGUUCAGAACGUCGUGAGACAGUUUGGUCUCUAUCCUCUGCGCUCGUUGGAAUCUUGAGGAGACCUGCCCAUAGUACGAGAGGACCUGGGUGGACGAACCUCUGGUAUGCCGGUUGUCACGCCAGUGGCACGGCCGGUUGGCUACGUUCGGAAGGGAUAACCGCUGAAAGCAUCUAAGCGGGAAGCCCGCUCCAAGAUAAGGAUUCCAUGGAACCUCCGGGUUCCGAGACCCCCCAUGAAGAACACGUGGUCGAUAGGCCGGACGUGGAAGCCCCGCGAGGGGUGGAGCCGACCGGUACUAACGGGGAAAAGGCA